rnacentral:rRNA from 1 species
AGUAACGCGUGGGAACGUACCCUUUUCUACGGAAUAGCCUCGGGAAACUGAGAGUAAUACCGUAUACGCCCUUCGGGGGAAAGAUUUAUCGGAGAAGGAUCGGCCCGCGUAAGAUUAGAUAGUUGGUGGGGUAAUGGCCUACCAAGUCUACGAUCUUUAGCUGGUUUGAGAGGAUGAUCAGCAACACUGGGACUGAGACACGGCCCAGACUCCUACGGGAGGCAGCAGUGGGGAAUCUUAGACAAUGGGGGAAACCCUGAUCUAGCCAUGCCGCGUGAGUGACGAAGGCCUUAGGGUCGUAAAGCUCUUUCGCCUGUGAUGAUAAUGACAGUAGCAGGUAAAGAAACCCCGGCUAACUCCGUGCCAGCAGCCGCGGUAAUACGGAGGGGGUUAGCGUUGUUCGGAAUUACUGGGCGUAAAGCGCACGUAGGCGGAUUAGAAAGUUAGGGGUGAAAUCCCGGGGCUCAACCUCGGAACUGCCUCUAAAACUCCUAGUCUAGAGUUCGAGAGAGGUGGGUGGAAUUCCAAGUGUAGAGGUGAAAUUCGUAGAUAUUUGGAGGAACACCAGUGGCGAAGGCGGCUCACUGGCUCGAUACUGACGCUGAGGUGCGAAAGUGUGGGGAGCAAACAGGAUUAGAUACCCUGGUAG